rnacentral:rRNA from 1 species
CCUACGGGAGGCAGCAGUGAGGAAUAUUGGUCAAUGGGCGCGAGCCUGAACCAGCCAAGUCGCGUGAGGGAGGACGGCCCUACGGGUUGUAAACCUCUUUUGCCGGGGAGCAACGGGCGCCACGUGUGGCGUCACUGAGAGUACCCGGAGAAAACGCAUAGGCUAACUCCGUGCCAGCAGCCGCGGUAAUACGGAGGAUGCGAGCGUUACCCGGUUUUUUUGGGUUUAAAGGGUGGGUAGGCGGAUCGUUAAGUCAGUGGUCAAAUUGAGGGGCUCAACCCCUUCCCGCCGUUGAAACUGGCGUUCUUGAGGGGAAGAGAGGUAUGCGGAAUGCGUGGUGUAGCGGUGAAAUGCAUAGAUAUCACGCAGAACCCCGAUUGCGAAGGCAGCAUGCCGGCUUCCGACUGACGCUGAAGCACGAAAGCGUGGGGAUCGAACAGGAUUAGAUACCCCUGUAGUC